rnacentral:rRNA from 1 species
AGCUUGGAAGCAGCUAUUCAUUCAAAGAGUGCGUAACAGCUCACUAGUCGAGCGACAGAGCGUGGAUAAUAAACGGGCAUCAAGCAUAUCACCGAAGUUCUGGGCGCGAGAGCGCGGUAGGGGAGCAUUCCAUUCAGCGUCGAAGCAGUUUCGUGAGGAAUUGUGGAGCGUAUGGAAAAGCAAAUGUAGGCAUGAGUAACGAUAAUGCGGGAGAGUAACCCGCACACCGCAAGACCAAGGUUUCCUGAUCAACGCUAAUCGGAUCAGGGUUAGUCGGGUCCUAAGGGUAAGCCGAACGGCGAUCUCGAUGGAUAAUCGGUUAAUAUUCCGAUACUAACAUAUACCUCGAUGGAGAGACGAAGGAACGUAAGUGCCGCCACCUGACGGAAUAGGUGGUUAAAGGGCGUAGGUAUAGGGGCAGAUUAAGAGUUAGUCCUUGCUGAAACCUGACAGUACAGAGAGCCUACGGGCAAUUUGAUAGAGCACCCAAGUCGACUUCCGAGAAAAUCUUCUAAGUUAUAGUAUAUGUUACCCGUACCGUAAACCGACACAGGUGGUCGAGGAGAGUAUCCUAAGGUGCUCGAGUGAAUCACGGUUAAGGAACUAGGCAAAUUAACCCCGUAACUUCGGGAAAAGGGGUCCCUAUGAAAGUAGGGCGCAGCGAAGAGGUCCAGGCGACUGUUUAUCAAAAACACAGGGCUCUGCAAAUUCGAAAGAAGACGUAUAGGGCCUGACACCUGCCCGGUGCUGGAAGGUUAAGAGGGGAUGUCAUCGCAAGAGAAGCAUUGAAUCGAAGCCCCAGUAAACGGCGGCCGUAACUAUAACGGUCCUAAGGUAGCGAAAUUCCUUGUCGGGUAAGUUCCGACCUGCACGAAUGGUGUAACGAUCUGGACACUGUCUCAACCGUGAGCUCGGUGAAAUUGUAGUCCCGGUGAUGAUGCCGGGUACCCGCAACGGGACGAAAAGACCCCGUGAACCUUUACUAUAGCUUAACGCUGAAUUUGGGUACACAAUGUGUAGGAUAGGCCGGAGGCUUUGAAGCGGGCACGCCAGUGUUCGUGGAGCCGACGUUGAAAUACGGCCCUUUGUGUAUUUGAGUUCUAACCCUGCGAAGGGGACACCGUUUGGUGGGUAGUUUGACUGGGGUGGUCGCCUCCAAAAGCGUAACGGAGGCUUCCCAAGGUACCCUCAGCACGAAUGGUAACCGUGCGCGGAGUGCAAUAGCAUAAGGGUGCUUGACUGUGAGACAUACAAGUCGACCAGGUACGAAAGUAGGGUAUAGUGAUCCGGUGGUUCUGCGUGGACUGGCCAUCGCUCAAAGGAUAAAAGGUACUCCGGGGAUAACAGGCUGAUCGCCGCCAAGAGCUCAUAUCGACGCGGCGGUUUGGCACCUCGAUGUCGGCUCGUCACAUCCUGGGGCUGGAGAAGGUCCC